rnacentral:rRNA from 1 species
CUACGGGGCGCUGCAGUGAGGAAUUUUGCGCAAUGGGGGAAACCCUGACGCAGCAACGCCGCGUGAGUGAAGAAGGCCUUCGGGUCGUAAAGCUCUGUCAAGCGGGAAAAAAGUCCGUUAGUUAAUAGCUGACGGGCCUGAUGGUACCGCUAGAGGAAGCACCGGCUAACUCCGUGCCAGCAGCCGCGGUAAUACGGAGGGUGCUAGCGUUGUUCGGAAUUAUUGGGCGUAAAGAGCGUGUAGGCGGUUUGGUAAGUCAGAUGUGAAAGCCCUGGGCUCAACCCAGGAAGUGCAUUUGAAACUGCCUUUCUAGAGUAUGGGAGAGGAGAGUGGAAUUCCCAGUGUAGAGGUGAAAUUCGUAGAUAUUGGGAGGAACACCCGUGGCGAAGGCGACUCUCUGGACCAAUACUGACGCUGAGACGCGAAAGCGUGGGGAGCAAACAGGAUUAGAUACCCGCGUAGUC